rnacentral:rRNA from 1 species
UACGUAGGUGGCAAGCGUUGUCCGGAUUUACUGGGCGUAAAGGGCGUGCAGGCGGUCUGUUAAGUCUAGGGUGAAAGCUCCCGGCUCAACUGGGAGAGGUCCUUGGAUACUGGCGGACUUGAGGGAGGCAGAGGAGAAUAGAAUUCCCGGUGUAGUGGUGAUAUGCGUAGAUAUCGGGAGGAAUACCAGUGGCGAAGGCGGUUCUCUGGGCCUUACCUGACGCUGAGACGCGAAAGCGUGGGGAGCAAACAGG